GAUGAAGAACGUAGCGAAAUGCGAUAAGUAAUGCGAAUUGCAGAAUUUCCGUGAGUCAUCGAAUCUUUGAACGCACAUUGCGCCCGCUGGUAUUCCGGCGGGCAUGCCUGUUCGAGCGUCAUUUCAACCCUCAAGCCCCCGGGUUUGGUGUUGGGGAUCGGCUCUGCCCUUCUGGGCGGUGCCGCCCCCGAAAUACAUUGGCGGUCUCGCUGCAGCCUCCAUUGCGUAGUAGCUAACACCUCGCAACUGGAACGCGGCGCGGCCAUGCCGUAAAACCCCAACUUCUGAAUGUUGACCUCGGAUCAGGUAGGAAUACCCGCUGAACUUAAGCAUAUCAAUAAGCGGAGGA
rnacentral:misc_RNA from 1 species